AUGGAUGUGGUGAAGGCGGCGUAGCUGUCGGGGCGGACGCUGGAGAAGGUGGUGGUGCACCCGCUGGUGCUGCUCAGCAUCGUCGACCAGUACAACCGCGUCGCCCGCAACACCAGGAAGCGCGUCGUCGGCGUGCUCCUCGGCACCUCCUCCCGCGGCAUCGUCGGCGUCACCAACUCCUACGCUGUGCCGUUUCAGGAGGAUGACAAGGACCCAAGGAUCUGGUUCCUCGACCAUAAUUACCAUGAGUCUAUGUUCUCCAUGCUCAAGAGGAUCAACGCCAAGGAGCAUGUCGUUGGCUGGUACAACACUGGUCCAAACCUGAAGGAGAACGACCUGGAUGUUCAUGCAUUGUUUACCAAGUACUCCCUCUGUUCCAAAAUAGAUGACCGAAUUUUGUACUGA
rnacentral:rRNA from 1 species